rnacentral:rRNA from 1 species
CCCUUAGAUGUUCUGGGCCGCACGCGCGCUACACUGACGAAUGCAACGAGCUUAUAACCUUGGCCGAAAGGUCUGGGUAAUCUCCAAAUUUCGUCGUGAUGGGGAUAGAUUAUUGCAAUUAUUAAUCUUCAACGAGGAAUGCCUAGUAAGCGCAAGUCAUCAGCUUGCAUUGAUUACGUCCCUGCCCUUUGUACACACCGCCCGUCGCUCCUACCGAUUGAAUGGUCCGGUGAAGCGUUCGGACCGUGGCCUUUGGACGGUUCGCCGUCUGUUGGCUGCGGGAAGUUCGUUAAACCUUAUCAUUUAGAGGAAGGAGAANUCGUAACA